GGGAUUACCUCAGUAACGGCGAGUGAAGCGGUAACAGCUCAAAUUUGAAAGCUGCCAACAGGCCGCGGUUGUAAUUUGUAGAAGAUGCUUUGGGUGUCGGCCCAGUCUAAGUUCCUUGGAACAGGACGUCAUAGAGGGUGAGAAUCCCGUAUGUGAUUGGUGCCGUCCCCCGUGUAAAGCUCUUUCGACGAGUCGAGUUGUUUGGGAAUGCAGCUCAAAAUGGGUGGUAAAUUUCAUCUAAAGCUAAAUAUUGGCCAGAGACCGAUAGCGCACAAGUAGAGUGAUCGAAAGAUGAAAAGCACUUUGGAAAGAGAGUUAAACAGUACGUGAAAUUGUUGAAAGGGAAGCGCUUGCAACCAGACUUGCGGGCGGUCGAUCAUCCGAGGUUCUCCCCGGUGCACUCGAUCGUUCUCAGGCCAGCAUCGGUUUCGGUGGUGGGAUAAAGGCUGUGGGAAUGUGGCCCUUCGGGGUGUUAUAGUCCACGGUGCAAUGCCGCCUACCGGGACCNAGGACCGCNCUUCGGCUAUGAUGCUGGC
rnacentral:rRNA from 1 species